CCAAUAGCGUAUAUUAAAGUUGUUGCAGUUAAAAAGCUCGUAGUUGAACUUCGGGGUCUACCCAUUGGUCAGGCUUAAUUGUCUGCACUGGUGAGAUGGAUCUCUACCUUCUGAGGAACUUUCAUGCCAUUUAUUUGGUGUGAUGGGAAAUCAGGACUGUUACUUUGAAAAAAUUAGAGUGUUUAAAGCAGACUAUCGUCUGAAUACAUUAGCAUGGAAU
rnacentral:rRNA from 1 species